AGUUUUUUUAGUGUUUUUAUGGUCAAAAUGUGUAACAAUCCAAUGCACUUGACUAAUUAUAAGAGUUAGAGAUGGAUUAGGAGUGUUUAGACAACACUUAUACCCAUUUUCUCCCAAAAGAGGCUAAAACCAACAAAAAAUUGCUUAGAAGCAGUAAACAGUUUUGUUAGUGUUUUUAUGGUCAAAAUGUGUCACAAUCCAAUGCAUUUGACUAAUUAUAAGAGUUAGAGAUGGAUUAGGAGUGUUUAGACAACACUUAUACCCAUUUUCUCCUAAAACAG
rnacentral:sRNA from 1 species